AGUGAACGCUGGCGGUAGGCCUAACACAUGCAAGUCGAACGGCAGCACAGUAAGAGCUUGCUCUUACGGGUGGCGAGUGGCGGACGGGUGAGGAAUACAUCGGAAUCUACUUUUUCGUGGGGGAUAACGUAGGGAAACUUACGCUAAUACCGCAUACGACCUACGGGUGAAAGCAGGGGAUCUUCGGACCUUGCGCGAUUGAAUGAGCCGAUGUCGGAUUAGCUAGUUGGCGGGGUAAAGGCCCACCAAGGCGACGAUCCGUAGCUGGUCUGAGAGGAUGAUCCGCCACACUGGAACUGAGACACGGUCCAGACUCCUACGGGAGGCAGCAGUGGGGAAUAUUGGACAAUGGGCGCAGGCCUGAUCCAGCCAUACCGCGUGGGUGAAGAAGGCCUUCGGGUUGUAAAGCCCUUUUGUUGGGAAAGAAAAGCAGCAGGUUAAUACCCCGCUGUUCUGACGGUACCCAAAGAAUAAGCACCGGCUAACUUCGUG
rnacentral:rRNA from 1 species